rnacentral:rRNA from 1 species
AGUAAUGUAUGGGGAUCUGCCUGAUGGCGGGGGAUAACUACUGGAAACGGUAGCUAAUACCGCAUAAUGUCUACGGACCAAAGCGGGGGACCUCCGGGCCUCGCGCCAUCAGAUGAACCCAUAUGGGAUUAGCUAGUAGGUGAGGUAACGGCUUACCUAGGCGACGAUCCCUAGCUGGCCUGAGAGGAUGAUCAGCCACACUGGGACUGAGACACGGCCCAG